rnacentral:sRNA from 1 species
GCGUCAGCGUAACCGCUGAGACGAUAACAAAAAUCAUAAAUAUGUCCUUAUUGACGGGCCGAUAGAGAUAUCGGCCUUUUUUUU